rnacentral:lncRNA from 1 species
UCAAAAUCCAUUCAUUAUUUCAUCAUCAACAUAGGCCCCUUUUCAAAUGCAUGCUAUAUUCAUUGAAAAAUGUUCGUGGGGAAGCAACUAGCAAAAAAAGAUGCCACGAGUGAUUGCAAUAAAAUGUUUCAUCUCUAGAGUUGGAGAAAAUCUUGUGGGAGGAUGUGCGAGGCAGUGGUGCACAUCAGUGAGGUAGAAUGAAAGCCCAAAGAGAAACGGAGGAAGAAAUCGAUUUUUCUAAGGUAAAGAGAUGACGGUCAACAAAUAGAUCGCAUAAUUCUUUAUACCUUUCUAGUAAGCAAAGGAUUUUUAUAAAAGUAUUGAAACGAUAAAUGAAUUUUAAAACUAUGAAACAAGUAAAAUUACAGAUCCACAGUCAGUCAAACAAACAACAACAUUGCUAUGGAAUUAAAACAAUCAAAUAAGAGUAUGUCAAAUAUAUAUAAAUAAAUACCAAGGUCUUAGAAAUAAAUCCUAGAAAUAAAUACAUAUAUAGUUAAAAAUGUCUAAACAAAUGAC